AACGAACGCUGGCGGCAGGCUUAACACAUGCAAGUUGAACGGGAUUGUAUUGGUGCUUGCACUGAGACAUGAGAGUGGCGCACGGGUGAGUAAUAUGUAGGAACGUACCUAUUGGUUUGGGAUAACGCUUGGAAACGAGUGCUAAUACCGGAUAAGCCCUGAGGGGGGAAAGAUUUAUUGCCGAUAGAACGGCCUGCAUCAGAUUAGGUAGUUGGUGGGGUAAAGGCCUACCAAGCCGACGAUCUGUAGCUGGUCUGAGAGGACGAUCAGCCACAUUGGGACUGAGACACGGCCCAGACUCCUACGGGAGGCAGCAGUGGGGAAUAUUGCACAAUGGAGGAAACUCUGAUGCAGCGACGCCGCGUGAGGGAAGAAGGUAUUCGUAUUGUAAACCUCUGUCUUCGGGGACGAUAAUGACGGUACCCGAGGAGGAAGCACCGGCUAACUACGUG
rnacentral:rRNA from 1 species